rnacentral:rRNA from 1 species
AGUGAACGCUGGCGGUAGGCCUAACACAUGCAAGUCGAACGGCAGCACAGUAAGUUCUUGCUCUUACGGGUGGUGAGUGGCGGACGGGUGAGGAAUACAUCGGAAUCUACUUUUUCGUGGGGGAUAACGUAGGGAAUCUUACGCUAAUACCGCAUACGACCUUUGGGUGAAAUCAGCUGAUAUUCGGACCUUGCGCGAUUGAAUGAGCCGAUGUCGGAUUAUUUAGUAGUUGGGGUAAUGGCCGACCAAGGCGACGACCCGUAGCUGCUCUGCUAGGAUGGCCAGCAACACUGGAACUGGAACACGCUCCAGACUCCUACGGAGGGCAGCAGAGGGGAAUAUUGGACAAAGGGCGAAAGCCUGAUGCAGCAAUACGGCGUAGGUGAAGAAGGCCUUCGAGUUGUAAAGCCCGUUUGUUGGGAAAGAAAAGCAGCAGGUUAAUACCCCGCUGUUCUGACGGUACCUAAAGAGUAAGCACCGGCUAACUUCGUG